CAGGGGAACAAAGCGGCAUCAUUCCAUUAUUCCAGGGGAGGUGCUAAAUACAAGGGUGAGGCUGUCAAGCGGUCCCUGGUGGAGUCCUACAUUCACCCAAACAGCAACGAGACAGAGCGGAGGGGAACAUCGAUACUGUCAUGAACUGGUUCACCUAGGAAGACUUUGACUUUGUGACUCUGUGCUACAGAGAGCCAGAUAACGUGGGACAUCGAUUUGGGCCAGAGGCAGAGAACAGGAAGUUGAUGAUUCAGCAAAUCGACAGGACCAUCGGGUAUCUGGUGGGAGCCACUGAGAAGCACAGCCUGCAGAGCACCUCAGCAUCAUCAUCACAUGAGACCAUGGGAUGACCACCGUGAAGAAGAGACCCAAUGUCAACAAGAUCCCUUGUCCAACUACAUCAAGUUCAGGAACUUGGUCAAGUUUGAUAUUGUGGGCUACGGUGGCUUUGGGAUGCCCCUACCCAAAUUGGGGCAAGAGGAAACCCUUUACCAGGCACUGAAGAAUGCAUACCCUCACCUCCACAUCUUCAAGAAGGAGGAGUUUCCAGAGCAUUUCCAUCUUGCUAAACAUGACCAGGUUCUGCCAAUCGUGAUGUAUGCCAACUCUGGUUACAGUAUCAAUGGG
rnacentral:lncRNA from 1 species